AGUGAACGCUGGCGGUAGGCCUAACACAUGCAAGUCGAACGGCAGCACAGUAAGAGCUUGCUCUUACGGGUGGCGAGUGGCGGACGGGUGAGGAAUACAUCGGAAUCUACUUUUUCGUGGGGGAUAACGUAGGGAAACUUACGCUAAUACCGCAUACGUCCUACGGGUGAAAGCAGUGGAUCUUCGCACCUUGCGCGAUUGAAUGAGCCGAUGCCGGAUUAGCUAGUUGGCGGGGUAAAGGCCCACCAAGGCGACGAUCCGUAGCUGGUCUGAGAGGAUGAUCAGCCACACUGGAACUGAGACACGGUCCAGACUCCUACGGGAGGCAGCAGUGGGGAAUAUUGGGCAAUGGGCGCAAGCCUGAUCCAGCCAUACCGCGUGGGUGAAGAAGGCCUUCGGGUUGUAAAGCCCUUUUGUUGGGAAAGAAAAGCAGCAGGUUAAUACCCCGCUGUUCUGACGGUACCCAAAGAAUAAGCACCGGCUAACUUCGUG
rnacentral:rRNA from 1 species